rnacentral:tRNA from 1 species
GGUAAGAUGGCCGAGGUUUAGGCGGUGGAUUGUAGCCCCAUAAACAGAGGUUUAAGUCCUCUUCUUAUCA